rnacentral:rRNA from 1 species
CCAAGGAGUCUGACAUGCGUGCGAGUCGACGGGUUCUGAAACCUGGGAUGCGCAAGGAAGCUGACGAGCGGGAGGCCCUCACGGGCCGCACCGCUGGCCGACCCUGAUCUUUUGUGAAGGGUUCGAGUUGGAGCACGCCUGUCGGGACCCGAAAGAUGGUGAACUAUGCCUGAGCGGGGCGAAGCCAGAGGAAACUCUGGUGGAGGCUCGAAGCGAUACUGACGUGCAAAUCGGUCGUCUGACUUGGGUAUAGGGGCGAAAGACUAAUCGAACCAUCUAGUAGCUGGUUCCCUCCGAAGUUUCCCUCAGGAUAGCUGGAGCCCAUUACGAGUUCUAUCAGGUAAAGCCAAUGAUUAGAGGCAUUGGGGACGCAACGUCCUCGACCUAUUCUCAAACUUUAAAUAGGUAGGAUGGCGCGGCUGCUUCGGUGAGCCGUGCCAUGGAAUCGGGUGCUCCAAGUGGGCCAUUUUUGGUAAGCAGAACUGGCGAUGCGGGAUGAACCGGAAGCCGGGUUACGGUGCCCAACUGCGCGCUAACCUAGAACCCACAAAGGGUGUUGGUCGAUUAAGACAGCAGGACGGUGGUCAUGGAAGUCGAAAUCCGCUAAGGAUUGUGUAACAACUCACCUGCCGAAUCAACUAGCCCCGAAAAUGGAUGGCGCUGAAGCGCGCGACCCACACCCGGCCAUCUGGCUUUGAUUAAAAUCUCGGAAUUGAUUAAAAUCUCGGAAUUGCUCUUCGACCGUGUACUCGGGAUACCAGCGGUAUCCAGCCUCAGUCAUUACCCUGACCAACUUGG